rnacentral:rRNA from 1 species
CAGUAGCCGCGGGAAUACGAAGGGGGCUAGCGUUGUUCGGAAUUACUGGGCGUAAAGCGCACGUAGGCGGACAUUUAAGUCAGGGGUGAAAUCCCGGGGCUCAACCCCGGAACUGCCUUUGAUACUGGGUGUCUAGAGUAUGGAAGAGGUGAGUGGAAUUCCGAGUGUAGAGGUGAAAUUCGUAGAUAUUCGGAGGAACACCAGUGGCGAAGGCGGCUCACUGGUCCAUUACUGACGAUGAGGUGCGAAAGCGUGGGGAGCAAACAGGAUUAGAUACCCCUGUAGUCCCUGUCUCUUAUAA